rnacentral:rRNA from 1 species
GACGAACGCUGGCGGCGUGCUUAACACAUGCAAGUCGAACGGGCCCGCCCCUGUUUUUGGGGGUGGGUUGAGUGGCGAACGGGUGAGUAUCACGUGAGUAACCUGCCCCCUGCUCCUGGAUAACUGCUUGAAAGGGCGGCUAAUACGGGGUGUGCCGGCUGGUCCGCAUGGGCCUGGUCGGGAUAGUUUCAUCUUCGGGUGUUUCGGUGGGGGAUGGGCUCGCGGCCUAUCAGCUUGUUGGUGGGGUGAUGGCCCACCAAGGCGGUGACGGGUAGCCGGCCUGAGAGGGUGGGCGGCCACACUGGGACUGAGACACGGCCCAGACUCCUGCGGGAGGCAGCAGGGGGGGGUAUUGCACAAUGGGCGGAAGCCUGAUGCAGCGACGUCGCGUGAGGGAUGGAGGCCUUCGGGUUGUGAACCUCUUUCUCCGGUGGUGAAGGCCCUGUCCGUUGCGGCGGGGUUGACGGUAGCCGGGUAUGAAGCGCCGGCUAACUACGUG